CGUCGAGUACGGUAACCGUAGUGAGAAUAAGAAACUCAAAUUUGGACGUUUUGGUAAGGAAAAAUUAUUUUUUUGGGCCUCUUUGUUCGCUUUACGGAGGGCGGUACGUUGACAGACGAGUCUGCUCACCGCCCUUUGGUCGUCUGAGCGCAUCAAACACCCUCCUCGGCCUCCAUUGCUAGCCGCCGUCUGUCCCCUGUCCAUCAACGGCGGCGUAUAGGCGGAGGAUCCCUGGUGACGAUGUCGGCCGCCGGGAGGUCCGGGGCUCUCCUCCUCUGCCGCCGGCAUCGUCUUCGACCACCAUAUCCGGUUAUCGUCUUGUCUCGGACAAGCCUGCCGGAGUGUACUGCGACGCCAUAUGUCCCUCCUCGCUUUCCUCCUCUUUGCAUGGGUUCCAAUCCGUCAGGCAGGUACUUGCUUCUUGCUGAUAGGAAACUGUCCUUCCAGUUCAGUUUCCACCAGGUGAACAAAUGAGUCAUAGUUGGCAGCCAUUUGAAUCAGGAACAAUCAGAUAUCUCAUCAAGUUUUCAGGAAAGGGGAUGCAAACAUCAAAUCUGAACUUCAUCCGGCCAGCCAGCUCUGCAUUAUGAUACUGGUGGUUUUCCGAUCAUAAUCAAAUCGGCGAGGGCAUUGUGGCCGGACCUGCACCGAUCGAGACAGGUUCAGGAUAAGCUCUGGCUGUGGAAGAUGGAAGUUUGUAAUCUGUCAUUCAUACUCUGCAGAAGCAUCAGGAAAGUGAAAGUUCAGAAAGCCUACUAAUCACGAAGUGGAGUCGGACCAAAAGGGACAUUACUUGCAGAUGCCAUUUGAUCACUGCAUGACCAGCAUGUCCGUCUGGAUUCAGACACCAUUGCCUUUGUGUAGGGAAUUCCGCAAGACAUUUGGAGAUACGCUACAGAAUUCAUGAAGCCUCAUCUGUUCAUUUAAUCUUCAUUUGAUGCUUGGCAGUUUAGGAUGAGAAAGGGGCUAAAUGUUUCUGCCAGAGAAGCAUGUACUACAAUACGAUACAGUGUACCUCUCUCCAUGUCAGAAAAUACCAUGCAUCUUUUUGUUGAAUCAAAGACAUUAGUUGAAAGUAA